AAAGAAAGCGUAAUAGCUCACUGGUCGAGUCGGCCUGCGCGGAAGAUGUAACGGGGCUAAACCAUGCACCGAAGCUGCGGCAGCGACGCUGAUGCGUUGUUGGGUAGGGGAGCGUUCUGUAAGCCUGCGAAGGUGACCUGUGAGGGUUGCUGGAGGUAUCAGAAGUGCGAAUGCUGACAUAAGUAACGAUAAAGCGGGUGAAAAGCCCGCUCGCCGGAAGACCAAGGGUUCCUGUCCAACGUUAAUCGGGGCAGGGUGAGUCG
rnacentral:rRNA from 6 species